UCCGUAGGUGAACCUGCGGAGGGAUCAUUACAAGUUGACCCCGGCCCUCGGGCCGGGAUGUUCACAACCCUUUGUUGUCCGACUCUGUUGCCUCCGGGGCGACCCUGCCUCCGGGCGGGGGCCCCGGGUGGACAUUUCAAACUCUUGCGUAACUUUGCAGUCUGAGUAAAUUUAAUUAAUAAAUUAAAACUUUCAACAACGGAUCUCUUGGUUCUGGCAUCGAUGAAGAACGCAGCGAAAUGCGAUAAGUAAUGUGAAUUGCAGAAUUCAGUGAAUCAUCGAAUCUUUGAACGCACAUUGCGCCCCCUGGUAUUCCGGGGGGCAUGCCUGUUCGAGCGUCAUUUCACCACUCAAGCCUCGCUUGGUAUUGGGCGACGCGGUCCGCCGCGCGCCUCAAAUCGACCGGCUGGGUCUUUCGUCCCCUCAGCGUUGUGGAAACUAUUCGCUAAAGGGUGCCGCGGGAGGCCACGCCGUAAAACAACCCCAUUUCUAAGGUUGACCUCGGAUCAGGUAGGGAUACCCGCUGAACUUAAGCAUAUCAAUAAGCGGAGGAA
rnacentral:rRNA from 2 species